GCGCCUAUGGUGUAGUGGUAACCCAUCUGCUUGCCAUGCAGAAAACGUGAGUUCAAUUCUCACUAGGCGCU
rnacentral:tRNA from 1 species